rnacentral:rRNA from 1 species
GACGAACGCUGGCGGCGUGCCUAAUACAUGCAAGUAGAACGCACAGUUUAUACCGUAGCUUGCUACACCAUAGACUGUGAGUUGCGAACGGGUGAGUAACGCGUAGGUAACCUGCCUGGUAGCGGGGGAUAACUAUUGGAAACGAUAGCUAAUACCGCAUAAUAUUGAUUAUUGCAUGAUAAUUAAUUGAAAGGUGCAAUUGCACCACUACCAGAUGGACCUGCGUUGUAUUAGCUAGUAGGUGAGGUAACGGCUCACCUAGGCGACGAUCCAUAGCCGACCUGGGAGGGGGGUCGGCCACACUGGGACUGAGACACGGCCCAGACUCCUGCGGGAGGCAGCAGUAGGGAAUCUUCGGCAAUGGACGAAAGUCUGACCGAGCAACGCCGCGUGAGUGAAGAAGGUUUUCGGAUCGUAAAGCUCUGUUGUAAGAGAAGAACGGGUGUGAGAGUGGAAAGUUCACACUGUGACGGUAGCUUACCAGAAAGGGACGGCUAACUACGUG